GCCUGGCUGGUUUGAUAGGAGGAGCAUGUGACUCUUGAUCUCAGUGCUGUGGGUUCAAGCCCCAUGUCAGGUG
rnacentral:tRNA from 1 species